rnacentral:rRNA from 1 species
AAGCGUACACGGUGGAUGCCUUGGCAGCCAGAGGCGAUGAAGGACGUAGUAGCCUGCGAUAAGCUUCGGGGAGUCGGCAAACAGACUUUGAUCCGGAGAUUUCCGAAUGGGGAAACCCACCUGUCAUAAGGCAGGUAUCACAUACUGAAUACAUAGGUAUGUGAGGCGAACGCGGGGAACUGAAACAUCUAAGUACCCGUAGGAAAGGACAUCAACCGAGACUCCGUCAGUAGCGGCGAGCGAACGCGGACCAGGCCAGUGGCGAUUGGGAGACAAGCGGAACAUUCUGGAAAGGAUGGCCAUAGUGGGUGACAGCCCCGUACGCGUAAUGCAACCAAUCGUCCUCGAGUAAGGCGGGACACGUGAAAUCCUGUCUGAACGUGGGG